rnacentral:lncRNA from 1 species
UGAUGAGUAAGAUGUCUAAAGUAUUUACCUCCUUAGAUUUGAUCCAAGGAAAGGUAACACUUUAGAACAGUUUUCUUGAAAGAUAUCAAGGAAAGAAGCAUCAUAAGAUAAUGGAUUUCUCCAUUAAGAGAAGAACGAACUCAAAUAAGAUUUAGUUCGUUGGAUGUUAUCAAUUACCCAUAUAUAAGAUAUACACUUCUAAGACAAUAUGAUUGUCAAUUAGAAGAUCUUGCAACAUUUUCAUGACUCCAUAGGAUGUAGUUGGAAAGAAAGACAAAUCUUAAUCAUGUUAAGAUUUGGGGUUGUGUGCUAAUAAGCAAUAUUUGUUUAAAGAAUUAUCUUGUGGGUAUCCUUAAAUUAACAUUUGGAUAUCAAUUCUAUAAACCAACUAACAAAUGUUGUUUGUUGGGUAGUUCAUUGUAAUCCUACAAUAUGAUUUGCCUAAGAUAAAGCAAUGAACGAGAGAUAGAACUCAAAGAAUGGGUUCUUUGAGAGACAAGAUGAUAAUCAACAAAUAUAACAACCUAGUUCCUACACCACAAGCUCCAAGGUAGUCGAGAAGGAUUUAUAAACCGUCUCAGUUGAAUGGUUUGAACUUUAUGACUAUGUCAUAGAGUUGCACCUCUUAAUUCGAAAGAAAUAAGAAUGAAAAUCCUUAUGACUACAUUGAGUGUAUAUACGAUAUAUACUCAAGGAAAUGGUAAAGUACCAUUUGACCUGAAAUAAUGAAACCUUUAUAGCUAAUUGGUAGCUUAAGGUGACUACAAUCAAAGAGAUUGGUUGACUUUGAAGAAACCAUCUUUGACGUAGUCUUGGUUUCAAUUAAUUCGAAGAUUGCUAGCUACAACUAAAUGGUGAUUCAAUGUUUGGACAUAAUAUGGGUUUCCGAAACCAUUAUUAAGAUAGUCUUGAUAAUAUAUGUCUGAAACUAUGAAUCACAAGACAUGUAAGUUGUAGAGAUCCAUCCAUCAUGAAUCUUAGCAAGCUAGUGGGAGCUAUAAACGUCUUAUGAGAGAAAGAUCAAAUCGUUUGAUUUCUCAUAAAGAUGUAAAUGAAUCUUUUGUUUACAAAAGAUUAGUGGAAAUGAAAAGAAUACUUCUUCGUUAAAGUUAUGACUUUAAACAUUCUAUAACGAUAGAAUGUAUAUGGGAGACAUAGUCUAUAAACAUGGGAAGUAAAUCUAUAAUGAUAGAUUUCAAGAUAUAAUUUGAUUAUAUCAAUCCCUAAUAAUAGACAAUAGAUGCUAGGAAGUUUCUCAUAUGAUGAUAAACUUCAAUUAGAAGGACGACUCUAGUGAGACUAGCAAGUUGCCCUUCUCAAAGGGAACGUGCCCUUUGACUCCCAAAGAAAUAAUGUGUAAAUAGAAUCCUUUAUGCAUACGUAGAAAGGUGAUUUAUGAAUUUCAUAUUGUAUGAAAACAUUGAUAUGAGUUGUACCUAGAUAGGUACGAGACGAUAUCAGUGCAAGCCCAGGAUCAGAACCACGACAACUGUUAAGUGAAUCCUUAAGUAUUUAAGAAAUACUUUAGAUUCCUCAAAGAAUGAGGAAGAAUUAGAGUAACGUAAUGGAAGCGUAAAUGUAUUAGAUUAUGAAUCUAAUCCAUCAUUGGAUGUUUCUUCAUUAUGUAUGAAGAGAUAAUCAUAUAUCUCUUUAUUAUGACCAAAGAGAUAUUUGGAUGGAAACAUUAAAAGUAAUGACUUUAGUGUGUUCCAUUAUGAAUGCAAAAUAUAUUGCCAUAUAAAAGCUAACAACAAUGUUGUUUGGAUGGGAAAGUUCAUUUAUGAACUCUCUAUUCGGUUCCAACCAGAAAGUGUCUCUAGUGUACUGACACUACGACACUAAUGGGGUGAUAGCUCAAGCCAAGGAAUCAAGGUCUCAUCAAGAUCCGAACUCAAAUGAGAGACUGAGCCACAUGAUUGAGAAUCAUGUAUAAUGGUGACGUCAUUAUUCUCAAGGUUGCUUCUAUGGAUAACAUAUAGAUAUCCAUUGUCUAGGCCUACUACUCAGCCAUUUCUGAAAUGAUGACAGAAGAGGUAUCAUCACUGAUGACCAAGCUGAUUGGCUCUAGUGCAAGUGGGAGAUUGUUGGAAAUGUGCCCUAAAACCAAUCAUAUGAUGAUACUUUACGAACAUUUCACAUGUUAAACUAAUCUAGUUUAAUAUCAAGGGCAUAGAUUAUUGUUUUAAGCCGUCUCAUAUAAAUGUUAUAUGCUUAAACGAUGAGUCCAAGGAAUAUGUAAUUAGGAGAAUGUAAUUUAAAUAAGUUAGAUUCAUGAGACCAUUCUCUUUCGUAUACAUAUCCUAAACGUUCCUGAUCAUAGGAUUGCCAAUUGGGCAUUGACAAUCCGUUAAAAUCAGUAUGUGCUAUGUCUUCUCUAGUGAGAGUGACUGGUCUCAAGUCAUUGGUGUGACUGACACCAAGACAAGUACGUAGGUGCUCAAUAAGGAAUGAGUUCACUGAACACGAUCAACGAAGAGUUCUCAUACUCAUGUCACAUGAGAACUCAUGGUUGGGAUAAUGCAAAGUAGUCAUUUGACCUGGGCAUCAUAGUUGUCUUGUGGUUAAGUCCUUGAUCUUUGAUUAUGUCAAAGUCACUCCAUUCGUGGGUGUCCACGGCAUAGUUGGGGUUAAGCCACUUAGCCAUGAAGGCAAGUGAAUGCGCAACAAGGGAUCUCUAACCUUCAAACCGUUUGAGGGAGAAUACUCUAUGAUAUGAUUAAGAAUCUCUGGCCAGAGUAUGAAUGAGAUUUAGGAAGUCGUUCCAAAUCACAUUCAAGAAAAUCAUAUAAGUAAAUGAAUCACAUUAGAUAGUAGACAUGAAUAAACUAUCAAACCAAACAAUGUGGUCAAAAGUAUUGUAUUAGAGAAAGGCCGUAUUGCAUUGUAAUCCUAAACUUAAUAGGUUCUCCACCUCUUCUGAUUAGCUUGGGUAACCAUGAUAUGCUGCUAGGUGUCACUCAUGGUUUGUGGAAGCCUUAAACGUGUAUAAACACUAAAGGGAGAAUUGAAAGUAAGUUUCAAUUCACAAUCAAUUUGAAAGAGUUUUAAUCGCCCACUGCCUCGCUAAAAGGAACUUGAUGGAUCGUACACCGUGUAAGGUAGAGAUUGAAAACAACGGAGAUGAGUAAGAAUAAUUAAAUGGUUUAAUUAUUUAUGGCAAGGAUUAAUUAAUAUGUUAAUUAAUCAAACGAAUAAGUUCGUUAAAGACCUCGGGAUAGUAUUGGACCUUAAGGCCCAAUGGGCUUUGAACGUCAAGUCCAUUGACUUAAGUUGUAUGACAACUUAAUGAAUAAUGAUUCACAAAGGCCCAAAUAGCCCAAUAAUACCCUAAGGCCGCCCAUUUAGAGGAAGGGUAGUGAACUUGCUUUAAUUACAAGUUUGCCACUCCAAUGAAUAAAGGUAUAACUAUGACUUUAUAGCCAAAAUUCAUUUAGGUUUUUUUGAGGAAAUUGGAGAGAACACAAAGCUCUCAUUUCUCUCUAAAGAGGCCGGCCACCCUUGGAGGAUUAGCUAGUAAUCUUUCUUCUCCAAGGUUACUCAUCUCUUCCAUCCAAAUCCAUGGAUCCAAGAAGCAAGGAAUGAAGGCCCUAUCUCUUGGGUGAUUAUCCUUU